rnacentral:rRNA from 1 species
UACGUAGGGGGCAAGCGUUGUCCGGAAUCAUUGGGCGUAAAGCGCGUGUAGGCGGCCCGGUAAGUCCGCUGUGAAAGUCGGGGGCUCAACCUCGAAUGCCGGUGGAUACUGUCGGGCUAGAGUGCGGAAGAGGCGAGUGGAAUUCCUGGUGUAGCGGUGAAAUGCGCAGAUAUCAGGAGGAACACCAAUUGCGAAGGCAGCUCGCUGGGACGUGACUGACGCUGAGACGCGAAAGCGUGGGGAGCAAACAGG